rnacentral:ncRNA from 1 species
GGCCCUUGUAACCGCCGGGAUCGGCCGGCGGGCAUCCACGGCCCGACCGCAAUCGGGCGCAAGCCAAGGAGU